AUUAAAUUGCAGAAUAGAUUUUAGAAAAAGAGAAAGGAUUUAUUUACUAGGAAUACAAACUAUGAGAGGUGCUGUGCUAUUGGAUGGCUUUUGAGAUCCAAACAGUCUUAAUGUUGAGAGUUAAUAGAAAAAAGUGUUCAAUGGCUCAAUCCAGUCAACUACACCCACCAAAUACAAUUGUGCCAAUCCUUUUCCAAAGUAUUUGAUGUAAACAUUUUUCACUGGAGUAUUUUCAACUUUAAUCCAAAGUGUAUGUUAUCUCACUAAGCUUUCAAAUAUGUUAAAUAUCAUUUCCUACUUCAAGAAAAACUAUCCAAGAUGUAA